ACCUUCUCUUAAAAAUCCCUAAAUUUUCUAGCACAAGUUACCACUACCACACCACCGUCACCACGUUUUCACGAUCUCAAGAUCGUUGAAACCGUUUCAUCAUCCUCUAUAUAUUUAACUCACGAUGAACUCAAACUCAUUUAUUUGCUCUCAGAAAUUUUGAAUCAUUAAUUUCUCUCAACGGUUCAUGCGGGCUGCUCUGUAUGGUACAUUGGUACAGAAGCAUCAGAGAUAUAUGUGUUUCUCUCAACUGUUCGGUGCAGAAGCAUCAGAGAUAUAUGUCUCAGUCUGCUACGUCUCUGGCUCUCUCACGUACUCAGCCUCCUCAGAUUCAUGUCUUGGACGUUGGUGGUGAGUUCUUACUUCACACAUUAAUUUUAUUUUUUGUUGCAUGAUAAUGACUUCAAAUUGUUUUAAAACAGUACAUGGCUAGCAUUUGUCCAUUGCAGACAAUGACACGUAAUGGGAACAUUAUACUUUGUUCCACAUACAGGAGAUACAAGAGUUGGUGAACUUGAUUAAAGUAACGAGUUUUACUUCCAAUCUCAAUCUUUGUGUUAAUCAAAUGCCUACUUGAAAUAUCCGAUCAUGAGAAUCAAGAUUUGACUGAUUGAAAGAUUUGUUCAGAAUGUGAGGAGUGUGCAAUUUCAAAAUUGAUUUGUUUCCGUAAGAUAAGUGGACGAUUACAGGCUGAUCCCGUACAACAUAAAAAUGGUGUGGACGGGAAAGCGAUCAAAGGAUUGGAAGAUGAUUCUCCUGGCUGACGAGGCGGCAUAGCGAAACCUGAACAACAUCACAGAAUGACAAUUAAAACAGAGGAAGCAAGUAAAAGUUCAAAAACAUGUGUUUCAAACGUUUAAGCACUGAAUGUCGUUCAAGAUGAGUUUCAAUGGAGUUAACUUCAUAACAAAGACGAGUUGCGGUUUUCCGAGAAAGAUCAAAGCGACAACACCAACAAAAGUAAAAUUUAGAGAUAAUGUUAUUUUUAUUGUCUCCAAAACAUUUAAGAUCAAUGUAGUGGUGAUAUAGUAUUAAAUCUAUGAUAAAUCCAUUAUGAAUU